rnacentral:rRNA from 1 species
AUGCUUAGGUUCCCCUUGCUCCACCGCACGCUGCAACUCCGUGCUCCUCUGCUCGAUUCUGGCCGCCGCCGUCGCUCUCAUCCCGUCCGGAUCCGCCGCCCCGGCCUAUCCCGUUCGGCCUUGUCUCCCCGACUGGCGCCUCUUGACUCGCGCCAAGCCAAGCUAUUGCUCGAUCCCGCCUCGGGAGCACCUCCUCUGCUCGGGCCUGCCUCGGGAGCGCCUCGAUCCCGUCCGGGCCGCGCGCUCCUCGUCCCCUCGCGCAGUGCCCGUAGUCCGGCUGUUCCAACUGCCGCUGGUGCUCACCUGCACGUAGCCGGUUCGCCAGGGCCCCGGUCGCGGCUGGAUCGAGCUAUUCCAGCCGCCGCCGAGGCUGGAUCUCCUGCUGUCGCCAGGUCCCGGCCCAUAUCUGAAGAGUCCACCGGCAAGGUCAAUCUCAGGUUCUGGCAUGAAGAAUUGAAGAGGCUGUUCUUUUACGAGUUCCGAGGGACGAGAAGCGAGGUCACUUUCCUCAAGUUCGUCGCGGAGAGGGCUCGGGUGCUGGAGAAGAUGGUGGUUGUGGUGACCAAUGAUGUUUCUCCUCGGGGGAUGAUUAUGUGA